rnacentral:tRNA from 1 species
AUCAAGUUAGUUUAAUUAUAAAACAUCAGCUUGUGGAUUUGAUAAUGAAAUUUACUUCACUUGAUC